rnacentral:lncRNA from 1 species
CUAUGAAAGUUCGGACGGCGUCUGGUUCUUAUAGAAGGCUAAAAGGAGACCGCUUAUUAUAGAAGCUUGGUCGAAGAUCGAUUAUCGUGGGAGCUCGGAGUAGCGAUCUGGCUAGUGGGUCCUGUCCCAUUGUAGAAGCUCGUUUGGGAUCCGACCAUGAAGAAGCUCGACUGAAGUCUACCUGUAAUGGAAGUUCAGAAGAAAUGUGUUUACAGUAGGGGCUCGAAUGAAAUUUGCUUACAGUAGAGAUCCGGAGUAGACCGCCC